rnacentral:lncRNA from 1 species
ACAGGUGGGACAGGGACGGGUGUGACACUGUCAGGGACACCUGGGACACACCCAGGGACAGGUGGCACACUGUCAGGGACACACCCAAGGACAGGUGGGACACACCUGGGGACAGAUGGGACACGGACGGUUGUGACACUGUCAGGGACACCUAUGACACACCCAAGGACAGGUGGGACACAGGGACAUGGACAGAUGUGACACUCCUGGGGACAGGUGUGACACUGUCAGGGACACCUGGGACACACUCAGGGACAGGUGGGACACAGGGACAUGUGGGACACACCUGGGGACAGAUGGGACACACCCGGGGACAGGUGGGACACAUCAGAGACACCUGGGACACACCCGGGGACACACCCAGGGACAGGUGGGACACACCCAGGGACACCUGGGACACACCCAAGGACAGGUGGGACACACCUGGGGACAGAUGGGACACUGUCAGGGACACCUGGAACACACCCGGGGACACCUGGGACACACCCAGGGACAUGUGUGAGACACCUGGAGACAGGUGGGACAUGGGCGGGUGUGACACUGUCAGGGACAGGUGGGACACACUUGGGGACACCUGGGGAGAGGUGGGACACAGGGACACAGACAGGUGUGACACACUUGGGGACAGAUGUGACACUGUCAGGGACACCUGGGACACACCCGGGGACAGGUGGGACAGGUGUGAAACUUGGGGACGAGUGGGACAGGGCCAUGGAAGGUGUGACACUGUCAGGGACACCUGUGACACACUUGGGGACAGGUGGGACACACCUGGGCAGGUGGGACAGGGACAGGUGUGACACUUGGAGACACAGGUGACAUUGUCAGAGACACCUGUGACACUCCUGGGCAGGUGUGACACAGACAGACAGGUGUCACCCACUCAAGGACAGGUGUGACACACUCAGAGACACCUGGGACACACCCAGGGCCAGGUGUGACACCUGGGGACACAGGUGACACAGUCAGGGACGGGUGCCACACUCAUCCAGGUGUGCCUGGUGCGUCACACACACACAGGUGUCACACACAGGUGUGUCACACACAAGCUCACAGGUGUGUCACAGGCGUGUCAUGAUGUCACACUCACACAGAGGGGUCACGGGUGUGUCCCAGGUGUGUCACACACACUCAGGUGUGUCACACACACACUCAAGUGUGUCCCAGGUGUGUCACACACACACUCAAGUGUGUCCCAGGUGUGUCACACACACACUCAGGUGUGUCAUAGGUGUGUCACACACACACUCAGGUGUGUCAUAGGUGUGUCACACACACCCAGGUGUGUCACACUCACACUCAGGUGUGUCCCAGGUGUGUCCCAGGUGUGUCACACACUCAGGUGUCCCCUCCGUGUCACACUUGGUCCCGCCAGUUCCGGCCGCACCUGCAACGACACCCAGGGGUUUUUCGGGAAUUUUCCUUUUUUUUUUUCCCCAAGAUUUUCCCCCAAUUU